UACAGAGGGGGCAAGCGUUGUUCGGAAUUACUGGGCGUAAAGGGCGCGUAGGCGGCCUGUUAAGUCAUGCGUGAAAUCCCCGGGCUCAACCCGGGAACUGCGUCUGAUACUGGCAGGCUUGAAUCCGGGAGAGGGAUGUGGAAUUCCAGGUGUAGCGGUGAAAUGCGUAGAUAUCAGGAGGAACACCGGUGGCGAAGGCGGAUCUCUGGGCCUGUCCUGACGCUCAGGCGCGAAAGCUAGGGGAGCAAACGGG
rnacentral:rRNA from 1 species